AAUCUUCUUAUAUAUUAAAGUUAACACUUAAGCAUAUUGUUGCCCUAAUUUUAACCUAACCCUAAUGCCUUAAUUUUACUCUUUUAACCCUAGCUCACACCUAAUCUUCUCACACCUCUCUCCCUUUUCUCUCACACUCAAAUUUUUCCAAUCAGUCUAAACCUAACCCCCAAAAUUUUCAUCUCACACCUCUCUCCCUUUUCUCUCACACUCAAAUUUUUCCAAUCAGUCUAAACCUAACCCCCAAAAUUUUCAUCUCGCACUCAAUCCUCUCAUUCUCACUUGCUUCCGUCUCCGCCGUCAUCUCUAUCGCUUCCAUCUCCAAAUUUUCAUCUCGCACUCAAUCCUCUCAUUCGCACUUGCUUCCGUCUCCACCGUCAUCUCUAUCGCUUCCAUCUCCGACGUCAUCUUUAUCGCUUCCAUCUCCGUCGAGUUCAGUUUCCGCUGUCAUUCUACUCCAUCGAUCUCCACCGCUUUACUCCUCCGACGUCUCCUCCAUCACGGAUCUGAACUUUUAACGAACACUUCCUGUAUCAGCCGCCACUUUGUCUCCUCCGGCAACGAGGCCCUAACUCCGGCAACCAGGAUAUUCUCAUAGGUUC
rnacentral:lncRNA from 1 species